ensembl:lncRNA LINC01640 long intergenic non-protein coding RNA 1640
UGUGCACGGUGGGGCAGGAAGGAUGGGGGUUGGGGGAUGGAUCAGGGAAAGCUGAAGUUUUUCUUUGGAAACAGGGGAACUAGUAGAAUCCUGAGCUCUGACUGCAGCAGGUCGAUGGCGACUGGCACUCCUAACCCUCCAUCCUUAACAGGGCGUUUUGCAAAAGGAGGGGAGAUUUGCUGUUUUCCAGCCACCUAAGAUCAAACCUUAAGGAUAGUGGUCAUACCUGUCUUAAUAACGGCAGUCAUUGAGCAUGUAGAAGUUGCUGGACCUCCAGCACACCCCAGGCCCCCAGAAGAAGUGGGGCCUCCUGGUGCACCAGGAGCCCAAGGUAUACCAGCAUGAAGAGGAUCACCUGAGUUACCUGGAGAUAUUGAGAUAUGCCCACCCCUACCACCAUGUGCCUGCUGUGUAAAGCUCAAUGGGCCAUUACCAGGACCAUCCCAGUCCACUGUCUUCCAGGAAGCUCUGUACAACCAUCAGAAUCAUUCUGACCUGGCCACUGGAGUGUGUUCUUCAUUCUCCUGCACCACCCUCGUGUAUACCACUUUGGUUCUGACAUUGCACUGUUUCAGAAUGCUGUCAAGGUGGGUCUCAUGAGGAAUGGUAUCCAGGUCAGGGACAAACAAGGAGACCAAGGACAGCCAUGAGCAAGUUUCAGGAAGUUCCAUCACACAGCUGAGAAAUGGGAUAUGAUGUGGCCACAGUCUAAGCUGGACAAAGCGGAGUCUGAAAAAGGAACUUAUCUAACUGUAUUCUAUGGGUAUUUGCUCAGUGGAAAUUCAGAAGGCUGGAACUAACAGCAUGGGCCUUUUCCUCAAGUACCUCUGCACUUAAGAAAGGAUGCUUUCUACUGCUCUCA